AUAUGUCAAUUUCCAGAAAGUAUUUACAGAUAGCUCUUUGAACGGAGGUAUGUUUCCGGACUUCCACAAGAAUGCUAACACCGACCAGUUCUUCCGAGUUAAAUUAAUGCAUUGGAAAUUUGAGUGGUGACGAAAACGGUUUAGAAAGAGAAGGGAAGUCAUAGUUUAAAGUUACUCUCAAAAUGAAGUAGGCAUUCGUUACCAUCUUAUAACUUCGAUUGGAAUGGCCAUAGGUGACGCCCUGAUUAACUUUUCGUAUGUUUACCAACAACAAAAUAGGGUGCCUCCUGGAAAAAGCGUCCAACGCACGCCCUUUCAAAGAAAACAUUAAAAACUGUAUAUCACUAAAAAGCUUGAAAACAAAAUAACGUUUUACCGAUUUUGUUUCGAUAGGCGCGCGCGAGCCAUUAAAUACAAUACUGGCAGGGCUCGCUUUACUGAAUUACCAGCCAAAGCGUUACCGCAGACCUUCAAACAAACUGGACUGUAUACGUAGCAGUCAGUAGAUAAUAGGUUAUGUAAUUGUGAAAGGCUUUUUAUAUAUACCCAUUGGCUCCUGAAAGUCUUUUUUGAAGUUGGACAAUAGAAAAUAUUUCACUUUUUGUCACGUUCCGGGAUGUUACGAGAAAAAUGUUUUGAAUUUCGUAAUAAUCUCACACUCUCACAAACACUGAGGUGAAUGAUUGUUUCAGAAUGGAUCAGAAAAAAGGCAAAGAAAUCAGUUUAUCUCUGUCAAUAUACCAAAAAAUGGUCUUAAAUUAAUCUCGAUGUACCAUGUUGUCUCUUCGGCUGCUUGGAGGUGAAUGGUAUUUGCAUGCUUAUCACGUUCCGAAACAGCCAAUCAGCGAGCGUGAAAAGCACUAUUCACCUGUGUGUGUACUAAUUAAUGUAAUUAUUGUGACUAGAUUGCAUAGAUAAGGACCGAAGGUGUCGCUAUUGGACUCGGUACUGCCCAUGGCAUUCGUAUGUGCGGACAAAUUGCAUGAAGACAUGCAAACUCUGCUAAAUUCAGCCAUCAAAACCCACGAGGCUCGAAGCGACCUGAAUUUAAGGCAAAGUUCUCACUUAUGUACUUGAACAGAGCAAAUUAAAGUGUUUUAAACAACA